CACGUAGGGCGCGAGCGUUGUCCGGAAUUAUUGGGCGUAAAGAGCUCGUAGGCGGCCUGUUGCGUCCGCUGUGAAAGCCCGGGGCUUAACCCCGGGUCGGCAGUGGAUACGGGCAGGCUAGAGGUAGGUAGGGGAGAAUGGAAUUCCCGGUGUAGCGGUGAAAUGCGCAGAUAUUGGGAAGAACACCGGUGGCGAAGGCGGCUCACUGGCUCGUAUCUGACGCUCAGGCGCGACAGCGUGGGGAUCAAACAGG
rnacentral:rRNA from 1 species